rnacentral:rRNA from 1 species
UGAUGAGAUUGCAUGAUAGCAUCAUUAAAGAUUUAUUGGUAAACGAUGGGGAUGCGUUCCAUUAGGUAGUAGGCGGGGUGACGGCCCACCUAGCCGACGAUGGAUAGGGGUUCUGAGAGGAAGGUCCCCCACAUUGGAACUGAGACACGGUCCAAACUCCUACGGGAGGCAGCAGUGAGGAAUAUUGGUCAAUGGGCGAGAGCCUGAACCAGCCAAGUAGCGUGAAGGAUGAAGGUCCUACGGAUUGUAAACUUCUUUUAUACGGGAAUAAAGUAUCCUACGUGUAGGAUUUUGUAUGUACCGUAUGAAUAAGCAUCGGCUAACUCCGUGCCAGCAGCCGCGGUAAUACGGAGGAUGCGAGCGUUAUCCGGAUUUAUUGGGUUUAAAGGGAGCGCAGACGGGAGAUUAAGUCAGUUGUGAAAGUUUGCGGCUCAACCGUAAAAUUGCAGUUGAUACUGGUUUCCUUGAGUGCAGUUGAGGCAGGCGGAAUUCGUGGUGUAGCGGUGAAAUGCUUAGAUAUCACGAAGAACCCCGAUUGCGAAGGCAGCUUGCUAAACUGUAACUGACGUUCAUGCUCGAAAGUGUGGGUAUCAAACAGGAUUAGAUACCCUGGUAGUCCACACG